rnacentral:lncRNA from 1 species
UCCCAGAAUCCAAGGAUCAUUCCAUAUAUUCACAAACUCCCCAUCAUCAAUGUAGCAGCCUAAGCCCAUUUCCAAUAAUCCCCUAGCACUUAUUAUGCGUCUCCAGGUAAGGGAAGGGUAAGAACUUAAUCCCGUGGAUAAGAAAUCAAUAUGCAGAUUAAAUAACCCUAUUAAAGGAAAGUCUCCAAAGUCCAAAAAAGGAAGUUGGAAAAGGAAGGUAACAGGAAGUCUGAUUGCUAAAAAAAAUUAAAUUUCUUGGUUGGGAAGAGGAAAUUAGAUUCAAAAAUGAAUGAGGAAUUUCAAAAUUUUGAUCAUGGGAAAACCGAAAAAAAGAAGGCUAGGACGAAUUUGAUGCCUUAGAAUGUUCAAUGUUAGAUGACGUGAUGAUGAUGACCAUGAUGCAAAUUCUUGCGUUUUUUCUCAAUUUUGAUCAACAGCUGACAAGAAGUCAACUGACCAAGCACAAUGAAAACAAUAUGUUGAAAUGUUAGUGGGCUGGUGGACCAACGGACAGUGUGGAGACUUCGGCUUACGUUGAGGUUAUAUAAUCCUCGUAUAGUCUUCUUUAUGGAGACAAAAUUGGAUAAUAAAAUAAUGGAAAAAAUAAUGAGCGGCGUAGAUUUUUGUGUGGGAUAAAAGUAAAUGCAGAAGGUUCUAGAGAAGGUCUUUAUUUAGUUUGGAAAGAUGAUGUUUCGAUUAACUUAAGGAGUUUUUUAAAGAAUCAUAUCGAUGUAUUGGUCAAGGAUGAUCAUAACGACAAGGAAUGGAGAUUCACUGAUUUUUACGGAGCAUCUAGUAUUAUAGAUAGGAAUGAUACUUGGAAUUUAUUACGACGGCUUAGACAAGACCAUAAUUAUCCUUGGCUCGUUAGUGGUUAUUUCAACAAAAUAUUGUUUUCUUUUGGAAAGGUAGGUGGCAUCCCGUGGGAGGAAAGGUAGAUGGAGGUUUUUACGGAAGUUUUGGAAGAAUAUCGGUUAAUGAAUGUCAAUUUCUCUGGGGCGUGGUUCACUUAGGAGAGAGGCAAUCUGGUGGAAAUAAACAUAAGAGAGAGACUUGAUAAAGGGGUUGCGAAUGAUCAACGGCUGACAAAUUUUCCUCAUGCACAUAUUUGGCACGUACCACACUUUUUCUCAGGUCAUUGUCCAUUUUUGAUAAAUUUGGAUCAAAUGAGAGAAACGAUAGGGGUAGAAAGGUUUAGGUUUGAGGCUUGUUGGACAAAAGACGAGUCAUUAGAACGGGAAAUUGAAAGGUUAUAGGAGGCUUCUUUGAGGUCAAUAAUAACUAAGUUGGACAACUUACAACAUGCUUUGACAGUUUGGUCUAAGUUAAUCAAAGAUAGAAGGGCAGGGUUGAAGAGGGCUCUUAUAAGGAAACUUGAAGGUUUGGUGAAAAUAGAAUGUGAUGAUGAGACAUUAUUUGAAUUUAUUGAUCAUAAAAUUCAGUUAAAUUAGGAGAUUGAUAAAGAUGAAGUAUUUUGAGAGCAUCGAGCUAGGGCAAACUAGCUUCACUUAGGGGAUAAAAAUACCGUUUUUUUCCAUAAAUUUGCUAUUGCUCGUAGAUGUAUGAACACAAUUUCUUGAUUAGAGUGGGAGGGUGGACAUGAAGUGUUUGACGAUGAGGGGAUUGGGGAAGCAACAGUUGAUUAUUUUCAAAGUCUGUUCACAUCGAGCAGGAUGGGGGAUAUUUCUAAUAUUUUAUCUGGAAUUGAAGUUAGUAUUAAAUCUGAUAUUAAUGUGAUCCUUUUGUCUACAUAUAUGAUAGAUGAGGUUUUUACAGCUUUGAAGGAAAUGGGUCCAACAAAAAUGCCUGAGAUUGAUGGUUUUUUGGCUAUAUUUUUCCAACGAUAUUGGCAUAUAGUUGGAAGUAGAGCUGAUCAUGGGCUGGGCGGCCCGGCCCGGCCCGUCCCGAAGGCCCGCUCAAAAAAUGGGAGGGUUUGAGUAAAAAUAUAGGCUCGAAAAAUGAGUUUGAGCAAAAAAAAAGGCCCGUUUAGAAAAUGGGCCGGGCCUCGGGUAAGAGUUUUUUUGCCCUUGCCCGGCCCGAAUAAUAUAUUAAUAUAUUUUUAUUUUAUUUUUAAUUAUUUUAAAAUUUUAAUAUAACCAUUUUUUAUUAUAUUGUUAAUUUGUGUAUUGUUUUAAGAAUUGUUUUAGUAUCAUUUUUAUUUGUUUUAAUAUUUGUUUUUAUGUUUUUAAAUAUAUUUGAUUUAUUAUAUUUUUAAAUUUUUUUAUUUAAUGAAAUAAGCAAAAAAAAAAAUAUGGACCGGGCCGGGCCGGGCUCAGGCUUAGCAAUUUUAUUUCGGGCCGGGCUUGGACAAAUUUUUAGGCCCAUAUUUCGGGCAGGGCCGGGCCUGGGUCUAGUAGACGGGCCUAAAAUUUUGUCUGGGCCAGACCCGAACCCGUCCCGGCCCAGCCCAUGAUCACCUCUAGUUGGAAGUGAUGUUAUCGGGUUUUGUUUGGGCAUACUGAAUGAAAGUAAAUUGUUGGAGUUUGUUAUUGUUAUUGAUAUAAUAUUACUUCCCAAAAUUUCAAACCCAACAAAUUUGAUGAGCUUGAAACCCACCAACCUUUGCACUGUCAUUUACAAGCUUGCGGCUAACGUAGUGGCAAACAGGCUUCAUGUAACACCCCUAAUCCGUAUCCAUCGCUGAAACAGGGUUACGGGGCAUUACUGAAACUUUCAAAACAUUUAAGAUAAAUCAUGUCAAUCACUGUUAAUUUUUUGAUAUUAUUCAAAAUGUCCUUUAAAUGGACCCUCGUGGCCCAAUAUGAGCAUUGAGAUCGAGUCGGGACUUAAUCGGGAACUCUAAAAAUUUUUCAUGAAUUUUCAAAAAAAAUUCUAAGUUACAGGGCUCACACACCCGUGUGGUCCAAUGGACACGAACGUGUGAAACUGGGAUACGUCCGUGCUGUAGGCCAUGUUCGACCCCGUGUAACUCUCUAACUUGUGCACACGGCCAUGCCACACGCCCAUGUGCUAGGCCGUGUGGUUAAUUAAAUUCUUUCGAAAUUAGGUGCAGGUUUCACAUGGCGAAGACACAUGCCCGUGUUCUAGGCCAUGUAGCACACACAGCUGAGACACACACCUGUGUAUCUGCCCGUGUGCUCAAUUCUGAGCAUUCUAUUUUCUCGAAGGUGCAAGGGACAUACGGUCUAACGACACGCCUAUGUACUAGGCCGUGUGUUACACAUGGUCUAGACACACGCCCAUGUGUCUACCCGUGUGAACAAAAUAAAGCCAUUUCUAGCUUCGUUUCUCACCCAAAAUCACACCAAUAACCUGCACUUAAACUCACAUCCAAAUACCAACCAUUUCAAACAUUCAAAUUAAGCAAAUCCUAUCAUUCAACAUGGCAUAUAAUUACAUGCAUACAUGUUUAUAAUUUUACCUUGGUAUAUUCCAUAUGUUAGGCAUAAUUUGAACAACCAUUUAACAUGUAUGUAGCUACCAUAGUAUGACAUUACAAGUAUAUAAAAAACAACCAUUUCUAGCCAUUCCAAUGGCUAGAUUACAAACCACAUAUUUAAGCCAUCUAUGACCAAGUUAGCUUAUACAUGUCAUUAUAUCAAAAUGAUUUUACUCUAUAUAUACCCAAAAUAAGCUAGCGGAUAGUGUAAUGAUGCUCUAAUGAUCUCUAACCUUCUCGAGCUUCCGAGCACUAUAAAAUAGGGGAAAAUAAAAUAGAGUAAGCAUUACAUGCUUAGUAAGUUCGUAUAACAAAAACUAAACUUACCAAUCUCGUUUAUUAAAUCGAAGUAUACAAUAUCAUGGUUUUCAUCAACUUGGCAAAAUUGCCUAAACACAUGCAUUCAAUCAAACUUGUUAGUUACAAAAUUUUCAUAUACAUCAAGUAAACAUAGAUGAGCUCAUCAUGCAAUAUUCUUUGAAGACAUUAUCAUUUUCAUCUCAUAAUUCACUUAUCAUGCCAAGAGAUUUUUCCGUUGAAACAUUAAAAUUUCGAUGGAUAUUCAAGUAGUACACUCAAGGUGUACAAUUCAAUAACCCGUCAAUUUUUAUUCAAGAGUACCAAUUAGGGCAUUUAAUCAAAGAACACUCUCUUAAGCCACCUAUCGUAUUACAGGAUUACCAGUUUAGGCUAAAUCCUACUUGUAACAUAUGCUCGAGAGGGAUUAUAUCAGAAUUACUCAUCUGGGCUAAAUCCUUUUCACAAUGAGAUCAAUAGGAUUACUCGUCUAAGCUAAAUCUUGUCAGUAACAAAUGCAGGACCUCAUUUUAUAAGGCAAUCACAUUUAUCCAUCGAAAUUCAAUAUUCAAACGAGACUUUACCCCUUUUUUUCCAACAUUUCUGAACAUGUAAUCAUUUCACACAUUUAAAAUAUUCACAUAAAUAUAAAUCAUAUUACAUACAAUCAUAACAUUCAAGUUAACAUAUUUACAUGCUCGAUUAAGUUACACAAACUUACCUCCACAAUGGUUCGUGUAUAAAAUCUACUAAUCCGAAACAUUUUCUUUUCCUCGAUCUAAACUCGAAUUUGUGUUGUCCUGAUCCAAUUAAGCCAUGAAACUUUCUUCUCUCUCUUCUAGGGUUUCCAUAGAAUUUUGGGGAAGAAAAAGAGAAAAAUAAAAUGAUAUCUUUAUCAUCUUUUUAAUUAAUUAAAUAUAUUUCAAUUUUUAAUUUAGUCCUUACCCUUUUUUCUAAAUUUUCAUGGAUGAGUCACUAAAAUAUAUACAUACUUUUCUUUAAUGGUCUAAUUACCAUAUAAGGACCUCUAGUUUUAAAUUCCAUAGCUAUUUAAUCUUUCUAGCUACUAGAAUUCAAUUUUUACAUUUUAUACAAUUUAGUCCAUCCCGUAUUUAAGCACUUAAUCGAUAAAAUUUUAUUAUCAGAAUUUUCACAUGAAAUUUAUAACAUAUUGCGGACCACAUAAUAAAAUUAAAAUAAAUUUAUUUUCGGAUUGGAUUUGUGGUCCAGAAACCACUUUUCGAUUUCACUUAAAGAUGGGUUGUUACACUUCAAGGCGUUAUUGAAAAAUGUAGUGAUUGUACGCAAAGUGUAUUUGUUUUGGGUCACUUUGUAACACCCUUAACCCUUAUCUGUCGUCGAAAUAAGGUUAAGAGUGUUACAUUUAUUGGUAUCAGAGCUACGGUUUAGCCAAUUCUUGAAAUGAAUGUGAUGUGUAAAGUGUCUAGAAAUACAUGUCAUAUAAAUCUGUGAUAGUGUGAUAUGUAUGAUCCGAUCUAAUCCUUGUUUUUCUUAUAGAAUGUGAAGAUGUCAGAUAAAUCUAAACAUGCUGAAUGUGAUGAAGCUAAUAACAGAAUACAAACAUCUGAACACGGGGCAAGUAUUAGUGUUCUAAUUUCUCCAAUGCAGGAGCAAGAACUUAAAAUAUAUGUUCUAUGAGUUUAUGAACAAAUGGUUUUACGACUUUAUGCAAGAAAGAAAUCAGGCUCAACAACCUUUUCCCCCUACUGCACCAUUUGUAGCACCCUAGUUGCACCUCCACCUCCCCUAGUAACUGAAUCUAGUAAACGUGCACCUAUAGAAAAACUUAAAAAGUUUGGGGCAGAAGGAUUUCGGGGAAUAUCAGAUAAUGAUCCAGUUAAAGCUAAAUAUUAUCUUCAGAAUAUAGUAAGAGUUUUUAGAGAAAUGGUUUGUUCCCUAGAUAAUUAUUUGAGAUGUGCUAUUUUCUUAUUGAAAGAUGAAGCAUAUAAUUGGUAUAUGAUUAUAGAGGCUGUCGUGCCAGAAGAGAAAAUUACUUGGGAAUUUUUUCAGAAUGAAUUUAAAAAGAAAUAUGUUGGCAAAAGGUAUCUGGAUAAAAAGAAUAGGGAAAUCAUCGAUCUGCGACAAGAAAAUCAGUCAGUAGCUGAAUAUGAGAGGAAAUUUGUAUAUCUCAGCAAAUAUACCUGAGAAAUUGCUCCAACUGAAGAAGAAAUGUGUAUUCGAUUUGAGAAAGGGUUAAAUGAUGAAAUUAGAAUAAUGAUUGGGGGUAUAGAAAUACAAGAAUUUUUUGUUUUGUCAGAUCGUGCUCAGAAAAUGGAAGAGGUAUAUAACAGAAAGAUGCAACGAGAUAGACGAAAUAAAGAAUCCUACAAGAGAAGCUCCUCCAAAUCAUUUUUAACAUUUCCAGUUAAAAAGUCUAGAGAGGAGUCUAAUCGAGCCACUUCAAUGUCUGAGUGAUCAAAUAAGAAUAGAGCAACUCAAUAAGAAUUCAGGGUAACUAUUAAACCUAUAGCUAGUGUGGGUAGUGUACAGAAUGUCCCGAGGCCGAAAUGCAAAUAUUGUGGAAAGCAUCAUCUGGGUGAAUGCAGAGGCAAAGUGGAAGCUUGUUAUAAAUGCGGAGCCAUUAACCAUUUCAUUUGAGACUGUCUUCAAUUGUAAAAAGAAGAAGAUGAACAAAAAGAAAAUCAAUUAGCCACUUCCCAAAGAAGUAAACAUUAAGGCCAAACAGUACUACUAGGGCUACCCAUUCAAAUAUGAGAGAUAAAGCUGCUCGGUUAGAGACUAAAGUGCCGGCACGUACUUAUGCUAUUCAAGCAAGAGAAGAAGCUACAGCUCCAGAUGUAAUUGCUGGUUCAUUUUAUCUUUUAAUGUUAUUGUAUAUGCAUUGAUCGACCCUGGGUCUACACAUUAUUAUGUUUGUACUAUAUUAGCAUCAGAAAAGAAAUUGCCUAUUGAACCCACUGAUUGUGAUGUUCAAGUCACUAAUCCAUUAGGCCAAAGUGUGAUAGUUAAUUUAAUGUGUCGAAAUUGUCCACUAGAAGUAAAAGGCUAUGAAUUCCCUACUGAUUUGAUGUUGCUACCCUUUCUAGAAUUUGAUGUUAUUUUAAGAAUGGAUUGGUUAACAAAGCAUGAUGCUGUAGUAAAUUGUCGAGAGAAACGAAUUGAUCUAAAAGGUCAAAUAGGGGAAGUGAUUACUGUUGAGUCUGUAAAUCCAAAAGAAAUUGUCAGAAUUAUUUCAGCUUUUUCAGCCUAGAGAUUAAUGCAGAAAAGUAAUGAGGCAUUUUUAGCCUACAUUCUUGAUACUCGAGGUUCUGAAUCAAAGUUAAAACAAUUACCAAUUUUUAAUGAGUUUACUUAUGUAUUUCCUGAGAAAUUACUUGGUUUACCACCUGAUCGUGAAGUUGAGUUUGUAAUUGAUGUGGUUUCGGGAACAGCUCCAAUAUCGAUAACACCAUACCGUAUGGCACCAGCUGAGUUAAAAGAAUUAAAGACACAGUUGCAAGAGUUGUUAGACAAAGGAUUCAUGAAAUCGGGCAUAUCUCAUUGGGUGCACCUGUAUUAUUUGUGAAAAAGAAAGGCAGUUCUUUGAGAUGUGUAUAGACUACAGAUAGUUAAAUAAGGUCACAAUUAAAAAUAAAUAUCCAUUGCCUCGUAUUGACGACUUGUUUGACCAACUGAAAGAUGCUGUAGUAUUUUCAAAGAUAGAUAUUAGAUCUGGGUAUUAUCAGUUGAAAGUAAAAGAGUGUGAUGUGUCAAAGACUGCUUUCAGAACUCAGUAUGGUCAUUAUGAGUUUUUAGUAAUGUCAUUCGGCUUGAUUAAUGCACCUGCUGCUUUCAUGGAUUUAAUGAAUCAGAUUUUUCAGCUUUAUUUGGAUAGAUUUGUGGUUUUGUUUAUAGAUAAUAUAUUGAUCUAUUCAAAGACAGAAUCCGAGCAUGCAUAACAUCUGAGACUUGUGUUACAGACUUUGAGAGAAAAGUUGUUGUAUGCAAAGUUUAGAAAAUGUGAAUUUUGACUACAUAUGGUUGGAUUUCUGGGUCACAUUGUAUCUACCGAUGAGAUUCGGGUUGAUCCGAGUAAAGUUUCUACUGUGGUGAAUUGGAAAAUUCCAAAGAAUAUUACAGAAGUGCAAAGUUUUCUAGGUUUAGCAGAUUAUUACCGACGAUUUUUUAAGAACUUUUCGAUGAUUGCUUCAUCUUUGACCCGAUUACUACAGAAGAAUGUUGAGUUUGUUUGGUCUAAUUUGAUCAGUUAAAGAAAGUGUUGACUGAAGCUCCAGUAUUAACCCAACCAGAAUCAGGAGUUCUGUAUAUUGUGUAUAGUGAUGUAUCUCUAAAUGGAUUGGGUUGUGUCUUUAUGCAGUCAGGAAAAGUAGUAGCUUAUGCUUCUCUACAGUUAAAACCGCAUGAGAGGAAUUGUCCUACACAUGAUCUGGAGUUAGCUGCAAUUGUAUUUGCUUUGAAAAUCUAGAGACAUUAUUUAUAUGGUGAAAAAUGUUAUGUGUACAAAGAUCAUAAAAGCUUGAAGUAUUUGAUGACUCAAAAAGAGCUGAAUUUGAGACAUAGACGAUGGUUAUAGUUGCUAAAAGAUUAUGAUCUGAUUAUUGACUAUCACCCAGGAAAGGCUAACGUAGUUGCAGAUGCACUUAGUCGAAAGUCAUCUUUAUUUGCACUUCGGGCGAUGAACGUUCAUUUAUCUCUUAAUGAAGAUAGUUCUGUAAUAACAAAAUUGAGAAAGAAAACUUUGUUCCUUCAACGGAUUCGGGAGUUGCAAGAUGAUGAUCUGAAAUUGGCGUUGAAAAGACAAAUGGUACAAGACAAUAUGAGUUCAGAGUAUACCAUUGAUGAUAGCGGUAUGUUACAUUAUCGCAAUAGAAUUUGUGUUCUGAAUAAUUCAGACUUGAAAAAUGAUAUUCUUUCUGAAGCUCAUAGUAGCAUGUAUUCUAUUCAUCCGAGUAAUACAAAAAUGUAUUGUGAUUUGAAAAAGAUGUAUUGGUGGUCGAGUAUGAAAUAGGAAAUCUUUGAAUUUGUGGCAAAGUGACUGAUUUGUCAGCAAGUCAAAAUGGAACAUCAAGUACAAACGGGUUUAUUACAACCUGUCAUGAUUUUUGAGUGGAAAUGGGAGCAUGUCACGAUGGAUUUUGUAUCUGGAUUACCUGUGACUCUGAAAAAGAAAGAUUCUAUUUGGUUGAUUGUUGAUAGAUUGACUAAGUCAGCACAUUUUAUCCCAGUUAGAACAAACUUUUCACUUGAGAAGUUAUCAGAAUUAUAUAUGUUUGAGAUUGUAAGACUACACGAAGUUCAAACAUCUAUUAUGUCGGAUCAAGAUUCGAGGUUUACAUCGAGAUUUUGGAGUAAACUACAAGAAGCCCUGGGUACAAAGUUAAAAUUUAGUACAGUAUUUCAUCUUCAGACUGAUGGGCACUCUGAACGAGUGAUUCAGAUUCUAGAAGACAUGUUGAGAUGUUGUAUACUCGAGUUUGGAGAUAGCUGGGAAAGGUACUUACCUUUGGCUGAAUUUGCCUACAAUAAUAGUUAUCAAUCCAACAUAAAAAUGGCACCAUUUGAAGCUCUUUAUGGUAGAAAAUGUAAGACUUCAUUGUAUUGGUUUGAAUUGAGUGAAUCAAAGUUAAUGGGAGUCGAUUUGAUCCAGGAAACCAAAGAAAAAGUUUGAAUUAUCCGUAAUAGUUUGAAAGCUGCUUCAAGUUAUCAGAAAUCAUAUGCAGAUUUGAAAAGAAGAGAUAUAAAAUUUGCGGUUGGCGAUCGAGUAUUCUUAAAAGUUUCACCGUGGAAGAAAGUAUUACGGUUUGGUAGAAAAGGGAAACUAAGUCCAAGAUUUAUUGGACUGUAUGAAGUUAUUGAAAGAAUUGGCCCUGCGGCUUACUGGUUAGCUUUGCCUCCAAAACUUGAGAAGAUUCAUAAUGUAUGCCAUGUAUCUAUGCUAAGACGGUACAGAUUUGAUCCUUUACAUGUAAUUCCUCAUACCGAAAUAGAAAUACAACCAUACAUGACGUAUUCCGAACAAUCGGUAAAGAUUUUAGCUCGAAAAGUUAAAGAAUUGUGAAAUAAACGGUACCGUUAGUAAAAAUAUUAUGGCGUCGUCACGGUUCGGAAGUGGCAACGUAGGAAACUGAGGAAUCAAUGAGGUUACAUACCCGAACUUAUUCUCAGGUAACAAAUUUCGAGGAUGAAAUUUCCCAAAAGGGGCAUAGUUGUAACAAUCUAAUUUUCAGUGGUGUCGAAAACAGUGAUUCGAGAUCACUAAAUCUGACGAGUCAUUUCAAAAAUUUUAUUAUUUAUGAGUCAAGUGUGAUUUUAGAAAGAUUUUUGAAUUAGUGGUUUGUGUUUUAGAAAAAAUUAUUAAGAAAAAUGGUUUUGAAAACGAGGUAUCGAUACCUCAAUUUCAUAAACAAAGCUGUAAAUAUUUUUAUAAAUAUUUACGGAGUGUCAAUAAGCUGGUAUUAAACUUUCAUUAGAAAAUUUUAACGUUUUGAUAUUUAAUUAAUUAAAAAGAACUAAAUUGAAUAAGGUGUAAAAUUUACUAAAGUGAUUAAAUAACUUAAGUGUUUAAUAAGGGAGGACUAAAAGGGCAAAUUAGCCCAAAAUAGAAGGUUUGGACUGCAUGGGUGUAGAAAAAUCAAGAAAAUUUGAUGAAAUAAGGGCAAAGUUGGAAAUUUUGUAAAAUAAACAAAUAAAACAAUAAUUAAAAGAUUUUCUAGACAUUUCAUCAUCAAUCUUCAGCCAAAAAAUCCAUAGAAGAGUCCCUCUAUGCUGGUUUUUUAUAUUUUUGCUACAUGUUAGUUCAAUUCUUUCUCUUUUCUUGAAAUUUUUGUGUUUUUGAUACUUUUACAACUAGGUCCAAUUAUCUCAUUCAUUAGUUUUUGAUUUCAUAGGUAAUUUUGAAAGUUACCAUUAAUGAGUGUAGAAUGUUUAUGAUAAAUUAUCAUGGAUUUGAAGUUUUAAUUUUUUUAUAUGAUGAUUUUAUUAAGUAAUUUUGAUAGAUAUUGAUUUUAGGACUAAAUUGUGAAAAGGUUGAGAAUUAGGGUUUGGUGUUGAAAAUCUGAAUUACAAAGUCUAUAUGGUAGCCUAAAAUAAUUAGAUAAAUUGUCAAUUGAUAAAAAUUAGCUCAAUUGAAAGGAUAAUUGAUGAGGGACUAAAUUGUAAUAACUAUAAAAGUUGGGGUAAAUGUGUAAUUUUAAAAAUUUAAGGGUAUAAAUUGUAAAGUGGAGUGAGGCUGAAAAUAUGUGCUAAUGGAUGAAUAAUUUUAUAUUUUAGAUUAAGAAUCUGUAGAUUAACGAGAAAAAGAGAAAUUAGAAGAAUAGUUCCCGAAUUACUACGAAUUUUACAAUUUAGUCCAAGUAAGUUCAUAUGGCUAAAUUUAAUGUCAUUUGAUAAAUUAAUGAAUGGCAAUAUGUAUUUAUUCAUAUUAUUUUUUCAAAAUAAAACUAUUGUAAGAAUUAUGAAAUUAAAUCAAAUAUUCGAAAUGAACGGAACGUAGGAUUGAGUACGAUCGUUUAGUGCAAAAGAGGAAUUAAUCGCAAAUUACCCAAGUAAAUCGAUGAUCAACAUUUUUUGCGAACUUUCAUGUUUUCUUUCCGUUUAGCUCUCAUGAGCUUCAGUUAACUCAUAUGAGUUUCUGUUUAACCCUAAUGGGUUUCCAUUUAGCUCUUUUGAGUUUCAGUUUUAUCCCUUUUGGGUUUCCGUUCAGCUCUUAUGAGCUUCCGUUCAACCUUUAUGGGUUUCAAUUUAGCACUUACGUGUUUUCGUGCAGCCUUCGGGCUUUUGUUCAUGAUGUACUCAAAUUCAUAAGUCGUUCUUGAUUGACAAGAAGUGGCAAGUGCUACAAGAAAUUUGUAACACCCCUAUACCAUGUUUGACUCAAGGAAUGUAACAACUCAUAUUUCACGGGCAUCGAAAAAGUGAAUUUAGGGCCUCCGUCUUAGGAAAACGAGUCCUUAAAUAUUUAUUAAAAAUAUUUCCGAAGUUAGUUAUGGGUUGAAUUAGAUUUUAAUUAGGUGAAUUUAUUUCUAAUUAGAAGCAAUUAGUAAGAAAUGACUAAAUUGAAUAGAGUAUAAAACUUAAUCAUAGAAUAGAGAAAGGAUAAAUGAUUAAAUUAGUAAUUAAACCAAAUUAGUGACAUGUGUAAGACAGAAAAUAAAUACAUGUGUAUUUAAAUUAUUAGUACAAAUGUAUGUUAUAUAUAUUUACUUAUAUAUUAAGUAAAAGAUAUUUACUUAUUAUUAUUAUUAUAUUUUAUCUAUUAAUUGAGAAAAUGACAAAUGUAUGGUGUGGGAUUAAUACAUGUGUACAUAUGUGUAUGAAUACACAUGUAAUAUUUUUAUUGAUAUUAAUUAGAUAUUUUAUUAAAUAUUAAUUAAGUAAAUAAGGUAAUAAAAUAAAGAAUGAAUAAAAGAAAGAAAAACAAGAAAAAGUUACAAGGAAACAAACGAAAUAGAAAGAAAGAAAGAAGAAAAGAAAAGAAAAAGGAGAAAUUAGGGUUUGAAAGCUUGAAAGUUAAAUUGGUAAGUCAAUUAAGUCCUUUUCUUUGUAAUUUUGAUGUUUUUGGAGUCUUAGAGUAAGUACUCUUGAAUUUGUGUGGAAAUACUGAAAGUUGAUAGACUUUUGAGUAUAUGUUGAAUAAAUGAUGAAAUUAGGGAUCAAAUUGAUAAAAGUGUUGAUUAGAAUUGAUUAGAGGACUAGAUUGUAAACUAGGCUAUAAAUUUUGAGUUUAUGGGCUAAAUUGAAAGAAUUUUGAAAUUAUGGUAAAAUAAUAAAAAAUUUAAUGGUUAUAUUGAAGUUUUGAUGGAAAUUGAAUAAGAAAAUGAUGUGAAUUGUAAAAAGGAAGAAGAUGAAAAUGAUUAGGAUAAAUUUGGGAUUUAGGUAAAAGUUGAAUGAAAAGUUAUUAUUUUAUAUAAAAUAUGUGUGUUAUUAAUUAAUUGUACUUAUGCUAAUUUUCGUAGCAAACAAGGAAACCGAGACGUUGAAUACGAAGGGAAAAGAAAAGGUGAUCGAGGAAUAGCUUGAGAAAAAUAUCGGUUUGUAUUAUUAUAAUUCAAGUUAUUUCUUAUUAAAUGUUUAAUUUUAAUAUAUGUGUAUGGAAUUUGAAUGUGAGGUAAAUAUUGAUACUUAAGUUGAAUGUGAAUUAAAUUUAUUUGAUGAACAAAUAUAUGUAUGUGAAAUUGAAUUGUAUGAUUGAAUUGAGUAAUGUUGGUAUGCAUAUGAAUGUGAAUUGAGAAAUAUGUGAGAAAAUGUGGUCAAAGUGCAAUUGAUGUGAAUUUCUUGAAAUAGAGGAAGUAAUCCGAUACCCUAUUAACUAGUCGAGCUUAGUGGGUAUAGUUGGCAUGCCAUAGGAUUGGAAAGGUUCAGGGAUACUUCGACUUCGAGUCGAUGAGACACUUGGUGUGUCAUUAUUGCUUCGGAUAGAUUUGAUGAGGCGUUGGUCGCCACUUUGCUUCGGCUUAGCAGAUGAGACAUUGGUCGUCACUUAUUUUCUUCCCGAUGAGGCGUUGGUCGCCAUUCUGGUGUGUUUGGUUGGAUCCGUGUAUCCACCAAAGUCCGAGUCAUGUUAAUAGGGGAAAUAAGUAAAAUAAUAAAAUCAAAUGAAUUUGAUUAAUUGAGUGAUUGAAUGAAAUGAGAAAGUGAUAUUGUAAGAUAGGAUGUCCAGAUAAAACUUGUAAAGAGAUUGAAGGUAUGAACCAAAGGUUCAUGAAGCGUUCAUGUUUGAAAUGUGAAUUGAAUAAUUAUAUGUGGUUGAAAGAUGAAUUAAAGGUUCAUGAGUUAUUUGAAAUAUCACUGAUGAUUUAUUGGAUCUAUCAUUGGAAAUGAUAUAAUGGAAAUAUGAUAGUUUGGUAUGAAUUUAUAUAUAUGAUUUGUAUGUAUGAUUUGCUAAUUAUCUAUGUAUGUUAUGAUAUUUUAUUGUUGUUAUAAUUUGAAUUACGAUAAUACCACUGAGUAUUUCCAAUACUCAGCGUACGGUUGUUUCUCGUGCGCAGGUUAGGUAAAGUUGAAGUUCAGUCAAGCAUCUGAGUCAAUCCCGAC